rnacentral:rRNA from 1 species
UACGUAGGGGGCAAGCGUUGUCCGGAAUCAUUGGGCGUAAAGCGCGCGUAGGCGGCCCUGUAAGUCCGUUGUGAAAGUCAAAGGCUCAACCUUUGAAAGCCGAUGGAUACUGCAGGGCUCGAGUUCGGAAGAGGCGAGUGGAAUUCCUGGUGUAGCGGUGAAAUGCGCAGAUAUCGGGAGGAACACCAAUGGCGAAGGCAGCUCGCUGGGACGGUACUGACGCUGAGACGCGAAAGCGUGGGGAGCAAACAGG